UACGGAAGGCAGCAGUGGGGAAUAUUGGACAAUGGGCGAAAGCCUGAUCCAGCAAUGCCGCGUGAGUGAUGAAGGCCUUAGGGUUGUAAAGCUCUUUUACCCGGGAUGAUAAUGACAGUACCGGGAGAAUAAGCUCCGGCUAACUCCGUGCCAGCAGCCGCGGUAAUACGGAGGGAGCUAGCGUUGUUCGGAAUUACUGGGCGUAAAGCGCACGUAGGCGGCUUUGUAAGUUAGAGGUGAAAGCCUGGAGCUCAACUCCAGAAUUGCCUUUGAUACUGCAUGGCUUGAAUCCAGGAGAGGUGAGUGGAAUUCCGAGUGUAGAGGUGAAAUUCGUAGAUAUUCGGAAGAACACCAGUGGCGAAGGCGGCUCACUGGACUGGUAUUGACGCUGAGGUGCGAAAGCGUGGGGAGCAAACGAGGAUUAGGAUACCCGU
rnacentral:rRNA from 1 species